rnacentral:tRNA from 1 species
GCUCAGUGGUAGAGUGCAUGCUUAGCAUGCAUGAGCUCCUGGGUUCAAUCCCCAG